rnacentral:rRNA from 1 species
GAUGAACGCUGGCGGCGUGCCUAAUACAUGCAAGUCGAGCGAACAGACGAGGAGCUUGCUCCUCUGACGUUAGCGGCGGACGGGUGAGUAACACGUGGAUAACCUACCUAUAAGACUGGGAUAACUUCGGGAAACCGGAGCUAAUACCGGAUAAUAUAUUGAACCGCAUGGUUCAAUAGUGAAAGACGGUUUUGCUGUCACUUAUAGAUGGAUCCGCGCCGCAUUAGCUAGUUGGUAAGGUAACGGCUUACCAAGGCAACGAUGCGUAGCCGACCUGAGAGGGUGAUCGGCCACACUGGAACUGAGACACGGCCCAGACUCCUACGGGAGGCAGCAGUAGGGAAUCUUCCGCAAUGGGCGAAAGCUUGACGGAGCAACGCCGCGUGAGUGAUGAAGGUCUUCGGAGCGUAAAACUCUGUUAUUAGGGAAGAACAAAUGUGUAAGUAACUAUGCACGUCUUGACGGUACCUAAUCAGAAAGCCACGGCUAACUACGUG